ensembl:lncRNA
AUCAAUUUUGCACAUGGCUAGACCUUCAUUUGCAAAGUUUAGAUGCAGAAUUGCCAUGAUUGGCCUGAAAUGAGUCUUGGGGCUGGAUCCUGCCAGGUGCUGAGCACUUGUUGAGAAACAUCCUUUGGUACAGAAACUUGUGGUCCCACAAACCAACUUACCUCCCAGGGCAGGAAACCUCUCUGCAGGCAGCUUAGGACUUUCAGUACUCAUUUCCAAUUAUUAUUUACCUGAUAAAUGCUAAUGACUCCUUGGAGGUGAAAGUGAAGGGAAUUUGGGAUUCUACCCAAGGAAUACAAAACGGGACUUUGGUGUAUAAAUCUUCU